UAUGCAUAGGAAAAUACGGUAAAUAGGAGAUUCUCCCUAAAAUUUCAUGUAGAAGACAAUUUUGUCCUACUGCCGUUGUACCCCCUAAGCCGAUUUAGACUGGACUGGCUUCCCUAACCUCCUGCCUGAAGGAAGCACUAAAGCGGGAUUGAAUAGAAACCGUGACUGACAGUUGCUGAGGUGUGGUGGCUCAUGCCUUCAAUCCCAGCACCACAGAGGCAACAGGAGAUGCAAGCGGAACUCUGGGAGUCUGCAGUGAGUCUGCAGUCAGCUGGCUUACAUAGCAAGCUCCAAGUCAUCUGCUACGGAUACUAGCGAGACCAUACCUAAAAAAAAGGAGGAGGAAGGAGAUGGGGAAGAAAGAUACUGGACGAAAUGGCUGUACUGACUUAUGUAAAUCAUUUAUGGAAACCAGUCCACUUGCAAGAGAUGAAAGCCGGCAUAUCGCAGCCUUGGCAGACCUGGCUCUUUCAACUGCCCGCCCCGCGCUGAGUCUUAACAGCCACGUUGCCCGAUUUGAGGGACUCUUGCUCCCAGUGAUUAUUACCUGUGGGUCCUUUGAAGAUGAAAGGCACAGACAGAACUCAGCAAUUAGUGCCGCGGGAACUCUAAUGACCUAUGCCUGACACUUACCUUCCUUGCAUGAUGAGCUGUUUCGGCGUUUUUCUCCCUUGAUAUUGCGAAGACAUGAAAGUCCAUGAGCUGCGCCAAAUCCUAUCGGAUCGUGGAGAAAGUCAACAGUUGUGCUACCGUGUUGGCGGGGGGUGAAGCUUAUGUUGUCAUCUCAGGCUAUUUAUUCCUCCCUCCUUCUGUAUCGCCGGACAAUGUCAAGGGGCUUUCAGGGCACAAAGGGCCCGAGAAGACAGUAUUCCUCCUGGUGCCUGAAAACCCCGAGGGGAUUCCUGGUUUCCUGUUAAGACGAAACUCUUCCUUUCCGCGAUGCUGUUAACAAGCGAUUUUCUCUUGGAGGAUACGAUGGGGGCGCAUCUGGGGUUAUAACAAUUUCUCAGUUUGAUAACUAUGAUGUGAGUCAUUUUCUCUUCUAUCGGUCUCAAAAGAUCUUUUUUUAAUUUAAUCACUUUACCCCCUGAGCCCAGCCCUCUUUUUCCUCUCCUCCCAGUCCUGCCCCCGUCCCCCCUUCUCCUUCUUCUCAGAGAAGGGGGGCCCUAAGGGGUACAGACCCAACCAUGCACCGACUUGAGCCAUUUUUUGAGAAGUGUUCUGUGAGCCAGCAAGAUGGCUCAGCGCGUGGAGGUGCUUGCUACCAAGCGGGACCAACCUUUGACCCCUGGGAGCCACGUGAUCGAAGGAGAGAGCUGACUCCCCAAAAUUGUCUUCUGAUAUCCGCUAAUGUACUGUGGGACCCAUGUGCCCCUCACCUGUCUCCAAAUAAAUAAAUAAAUAAUAUGUGAUAAAAAUAAAAAAGAAAGUGUACUGAAAUAUAACUGGAUCAGAGUGACAUUAUGAACAAGAAAAACAGUGAACUGCUCCAGUGUGGACAGAAUGGUUUGUUUGUUUUUUUUUUUUUUUUGCAAAUAUUGAUGCAUUAUUAGUAAUGCUAAAUUAUUGAUGUAACCAAGUAUCACAAGAUCAUUCCUCCAUAGCCAGAAUGAACUGGGCAGGGUUUAAGAGAAAUGGCAGUAGUGGAGGACAUGGGAAAUGGGUAUUUCGAUUCCUUUCUAAAUGGUCUGGCCACCAGGAUUGUCAAAUGUGGUUUCACAAGAAGAGUUUAGACUCAAAGUCCUUAUACGAAAUACAUCACUUUCAGCAACGAAUUAACAUGGUUUUAAAGAGCCAAUAUUUGGUGAACCAAAAGAACAAAGACCAAACAAAUACAUCUUGCAGAUGUCUAUAGAGGGAAGGCUGGACAGACAUGUCUGCAGGCAUUCAGGUCCUCGUCUGUGAUUCAGAUACUCUUCUGCGCUACUGCCGUGGUCUGACUGUGAAACGUCCCCCUCUGGUUCCUGUGUUUGAACACUUGGUUGCCAGCUAAUAUUACUGUUUGGGAGGGUUACAGAAACUUCAGGAAGUGGAGCCCUGCUGGAGGAAUGGAAGUGUGUCACUUGGGAGGCAGGCUUUGCAGUUUUACAGCUGGGCUCUAUUUCCUGGUCUCUGUCUACUUCCUGUGUGCGGGUGAAGUGUGAUCAGUCUGCUUCCUGACUGCCAGCCUGGCCACAUCCUCCUGCUGCCAUGCUUUCCGUGCUAAGAUGGACUGUAUCCGGUCUGGAACCGUAAGCCCAAAUAAACUCUUCCCAAACUUAGUUUUUGUCAGGUCAGGGUAUUGUAAUUUUUUUUUUUUUUUUUUUUAUCACAGCAACAGAAAAGCAACUAAUACAGGCAGGGAGUUAAUAACUGUUGGUGUCUUUUAAUGAUUGCAAUAACAACACCUUAAACUUGUUAGACUGGCCAACGACAUUGCCAUUUAUUUUGGGGAGCAGUGUCAAACUCUUCUGGUUUGAUCCUAUGGCAAGGACUUUAAUUCUCUUCUUUCAGGGGAAGGAGGGGAGAGAGUGCAUUGACUCAGUCACAGAAGCUGACAUGUAGCAGAACCAGCAGCAGCAAUUUUGAGCCCAAGUCCAGAAGUCCUUUCUGCACUUACAACCUCAGAGGUGCCAUGACUUCCGUGUGCUUGCUGACUACCAUGCCUUCUUAUUCCCUCCGACAGUUUCAUAGCUUUUCAUGACCCUCCCACAUCAAUGGGCUUAAUUAAGGUAACCUCUUAUAAACCGGUCCACAGGCAAACCCUAGGCAGGCAAUCUGUCUUGAGACUGUCGUCCCCCAGUGCUCCUGAGUUGUCAAGCUGACAAAACUUAACCAUCACAGGAAGUGAUGUCUGAAUGCUUCUUAAGCAGUACCUAUUCUGUUCUUUGUUAAAGCAUAUCAUUUCAUCCAUUAGUGCUGGGAUGAGGCUCCGGCCUCGUGUGUACUAGGUAAGUGCUCUCUCUCUCUCUGAACCACCUCCCCAGCCCCUUUCGUUUCUCUCUAACCUACCAUUGAAACAUCCAAAAGGUGGUGAGCGUCAGAGCAGCCUUCCUCUUGGUUAGAUGGCCAUCGGUACUUACCUUGAUGCUUGCUUGAAGUGUUUGUUCACGCGUCUGUCAUGUUAAGGUAAU